UAGCAGCGAAAACGAGGACUCGGACC
rnacentral:piRNA from 1 species